UACGUAGGCAGCGAGCGUUGUUCGGAGUUACUGGGCGUAAAGAGUGCGUAGGCGGUUUUCUAAGUUUGGUGUGAAAUCUCCCGGCUUAACUGGGAGGGUGCGCCGAAGACUGGAAGGCUUGAGUAUGGGAGAGGUAAGCGGAAUUCCUGGUGUAGCGGUGAAAUGCGUAGAUAUCUGGAGGAAUACCGGUGGCGAAGGCGGCAUCCUGGACCGACAUUGACGCUGAGGAGCGAAAGCUAGGGGAGCAAACGGG
rnacentral:rRNA from 1 species